rnacentral:lncRNA from 1 species
AAGGCCGAGGGGACUCUCCCGGGGAAGGCGAUCACGGCAGGUGGCCUGGACGGCAGCAUCCACACCUGUAUUCCGUUUCCCACCGAGCACGUGAGGACCAACGAGCGCUCGCCCCCGCCGGGCACCCGGCAUGGGGGCCUGUGGGGCACAGUCACAGCCACGGCGUCCUGGGCCUGAACCGCGGCCUCAGCUUCCUGCUCUGCGGCUCCAUCCCCGAGGCAGAGUCAGGUUCGGGAAGUUGGAGUUCCUCUGCACCCAGAUGUGGAAUGCCCAGGGACUGCUGAACAGCAGGCGCGGGCUGCUGUGAGGUCUAGACACCGGCAUGGCCGAGGCCAUGGUGGUCGUACGUCCCAUGGAGACCAUCAAAGUGAAGUUCAUCCACUACCAGACCUCCCCAAACCCAAGAACAGAUAAUUCUUCGGGGUUAGGGAGAUUAUGCGGGAACAAGGGCUGAGGGGACUUACCAGGGCCUCAGGGCCGCCGGGCUGAAGCAGGGCUGGAACCAGGCCAUUGUUUCUUUGUCCUGACCUCCCUGCAGCAACUGGUACCAAACAGAUAAGCCCAUGAACCCGCUGAUCACUGGGGUCUUCUGAGCCAUUGCAGGCACAGCCAGCGUCUUCGGAAACACCCCUCUGGACGGGAUCCCGAGGGGCUCAAGGCCUUCACAAGGGCACUGUCCCAUGCCAGUCACUGACGGAGUCUGCCUGGAUGUGGCCAUAACAUUUAUCAUCUACAAUGAGGUGGUGAAGCUGCUCAACAAAGUGUGGAAGAAGGACUA